GCAGUUGCUGGCCUUGAAGAAAGGAGAAGCAAAGUCACUGUGAUUGGAGGAAGGAGAUUCAGGAAGCAAGGAUAGCUCUUAAUAUCAGUUCCAAUGAGUUGGAUAUACGAAAGAGGGAGUCAAAACUGGGGCUUCAAGAAAGCGGGGACUGUAUUUGUAUUUUCUCCCAGUGUAUUCGCAGUGCAUCUGGUUCACCAAAGGAUCUAUACUCUGGAGGUGAUUUUAUCGAUGGCAGCUGUGUGGCAGAAGUACUUCGGAACGGCGAGCUACUUGUGCAUCUCUUCCGUUCCGUGAAGUCAUGUUGGCAGCUUGAAACUGAUCAAGUGGGAAGCGUUUACAUCACAGAAAUUGGCAAGCUGGCAAACAGGGAAACAAGAACUGUGUGCUCAGCCCUCCAGAGUGGAAUGGAUUAUGAGGAGGUGAUGGUCCUUCCCUGCCAAGCUCCUGAGACACUGUCACUCCGGAAUCCAAAAAGAGAUUCAGGCAAGGAUGUGGGAAAAUUGGAACCCUGCACGCUGUUGGUGGGAAUGCCAAAUGGUGCAGCUGCUAUGGAAAACAGUAUGGAGGUUCCUCAAAAAAUUAAAAAUAGAAUUACAUAUGAUCCAGCGAUCCCACAGGGUAUUUAUCCAAAAUAACUGAAAUGAGGAUCUUGAAGAGAUAUUAGCACGCCCCCGUUCACUGCAGCACUAUUCACAAUAGCUGAGAUGUAGAAACAAAUGAAAUCUCCAACAACAGAUGAAUGGAUAAAGAAAAUGUGGUGAACACACAUGCACACACACACGCACACAUACACACACGCAUGCACACCACCCCCCCCAGAUUAUUACUUAGCCUUAAAAAAGAAACUCUAAAAUAUGUGGCAACAUGGAUGAAUCUUGAGGACGUUAUACUAAAUGAAAUAAACCAGUCGGAGAAAGACAAAACUGCAUGAUUCCACUUAUGUGAGGUAUCUACAAUUACCGAAUUCAUAGCAUCAAAGAGUGGAACGGUGGUUGCCAGGAGCUAGGUGAAGUGGGAAAUGAGCAGUUGUGAAUCAAUGGGCAUGCGGCUUUAGUUAAGCAAGAUUAAUGAGUUGUAGAGAUCUGCUGUACAACACUUUACCUAUGGUCAAUCAUCCUGUAUUGUGCACUUAAAAUUUUGCUAAGAAGGUGGCCCUCAUGUUAAGUGUUCUUACAAAGCUGGAAAAGAAAGAAGUAACGGGAUUGGCUCACUGGAGGUAGGGCUGUUGGCUUGUAUUCUGCCUGCCCCGCUGAAGGGGCUGGUUUCUCUGCCGGAAUUCAGGUGGGUCUGUCUGAGCCAUGGGGCUGGAGGAGGCCUGCAUAGGCAGCAUGCCACAGGUUUCUCUGGCUUCUUGAGAACAGAGCCUGAUGAUGGUGGAGAAAUGAGAGCUUCCCAUUUCUUCUUCUGUUUACAUUAGAACAGCCAAGUGCUUCUUCAACCAUCCACCAUUCCCUUAUGUCAUAUGUUUUCUGAAGACAUUUUACUGCUUCAGUGAGACAAGAGCAGCAGCAUGAAGGCAUUUGAACACUAGAUUGUGCAUUGUUCUUCAGCCACGUUCUAGGCCUUGAUGUCUCCAGUGAAAAUCCAGCUGUGGAAACCGCACCUUCCAACACCUCACUCUCUGGCCACAGCUGCCUGUCCUACCUCUCUUACUCCUCUCCUCUCACAGCUUCAUCUGGUCUCUGGUCCAGAGACGGCAAAUACCUGGUGUGAUUACUGCCACUCUUCCCAGCUCAUGAGAACCUCACAGACUGAUCACGCCAUGCUCUUCUAUUAAGCCCAGAGGUUGCUUUGGAAUCCUUCUCAGCACACGUGCCAUCAACUGGAGCUGACAUGUGCGAUGAAAACUAUCUGCCAUUCCAGCUCCAAUUCCUUGACUCACUUUCUCUUAGCCCAUCAGGCAGGGCAGACCCCACAUACUCGCACGUGAACUCUUUAUGGCACCCUCCCCUUCCCUUGAAUACGCACGUGCCGUGUCUGUCCAAUGAUGUGUUCUCUCCACUCUCAUGCCCAGACCACUAAGGAUUGUUGAAGAAUUUUACCUUAUGAUGUGUAUUUACUUUUAAUGCCACAAAAAAUCUACUUUGGUUUCUACUUUGGAAACGUCUUUUACUUGUUCUUUAUUAGUAUCUUCUUGCAUUUCCCAGAGAAGCCUUCCAGAGCCUAUCCUGCCUUUCAGUCCCCCAAACCUUCCCUCCUUGUCUGUCAACCUCACCUCUUAUUUCCCUGAGAAGACUGGCAGAGGCUCCCUGUGCCUCUGCCCCUGCCUCAUCCCCCACCCUCUGCCCACAUGCACCCUGUCUCUCCCUUUCAGAAUCUUUGUAAUCAUUCUGCUUAGAGUGCUGUGGCCUCCAUCUGCUCCCGAGAUGUUCCCUUUUCUUCCACACUCAGCAAAGUGUCAUUUCCUUGACAAAACCUUCCUUUGCUAACUGACUCUCAACCCAGGCAGUCUGGGUAGUUCCCUCCUCUCUUCCCUCUGUAUCUCAUACAUACCUAUAUUAAUGUAUUAAUUCCGGGGAAUUGUCAUCUAUCUCUUUUCUAGUCUACUUUCCAUCCCUGACUCUAACAGUAUCUGGACUAGGGCAAUGAUUCAAGUUGUAUUUAUUGAGUGACUGAAUGAAUGCAUUGAGAAAUUGAGGCAGAGAAUAGAUUUGGCCCAUCUCCUGGAAUUGGUCAUCCUCACAUCCUUCCUGUUAAAUUUUACUACCUGCACUUCUCUUUUUAAAAAAGGAUCUAGAAAUAGAAAUUCCAUUUGACCCAGCAAUUCCAUUACUGGGUAUAUACCCAAAGGACUGUAAAUCAUUCUAUUAUUAAGACACAUGCACAUGCAUGUUCAUCGCACUGUUUACAAUAGCAAAGACCUGGAACCAACCCAAAUGCCCAUCAAUGAUAGACUGGACAGGGAAAAUGUGGCACAUAUACACCAUGGAAUACUAUGCAGUCAUAAAAAAUGAUAAGUUUGUGUCCUUUGUAGAGACAUGGAUGAACCUGGAAACCAUCAUUCUCAGCAAACUGACAUAAGAACAGAAAAUCAAACACCACGUGUUCUUACUCACAGGUAGUAAUUGAACAAUGAGAACACUUGGACACAAAUAGGGGAGCAUCACACACUGGGGUCCAUUGAA